rnacentral:piRNA from 1 species
UGGAAAUGCAUCUCAGAACUGUUGGGGUCC